rnacentral:rRNA from 1 species
AUACGUAGGUGACAAGCGUUAUCCGGAUUUACUGGGCGUAAAGGGCGUGUAGGCGGUCUUGCAAGUCAGAAGUGAAAUUCCUGAGCUCAACUCGGGCGCUGCUUCUGAAACUGCAGGACUUGAGUGCUGGAGGGGAUAGCGGAAUUCCUAGUGGAGCGGUAAAAUGCGCAGAUAUUAGGAAGAACACCGGUGGCGAAGGCGGCUAUCUGGACAGUAACUGACGCUGAGGCGCGAAAGCGUGGGGAGCAAACAGGAUUAGAUACCCUGGUAGUCCACGCUGUAAACGAUGAAUACUAGGUGUAGGGGGUAUCGACUCCCUCUGUGCCGCAGUUAACACAAUAAGUAUUCCGCCUGGGGAGUACGGCCGCAAGGUUGAAACUCAAAUGAAUUGACGGG